rnacentral:lncRNA from 1 species
UGUGGAUAUAAUCCUGACUCACUACUAUCUAUAUAGUUUUGAAUCGGUAAUUAACUUUGAUUGCCUACAACAGCGAUUAAAUUUUGACAUCGUUAUCGGAAUCAUUAUCACGAUUGAUUCAAAAAAUAUAUUAAUUUUAAUUUUUCAUAAUACACCUAGGAUAUUAGAGACUAAUCAAAAAAUUUUAGUGCGGACAUCUUGUUUCUUUGCACAGCAUUUUCAUAAUACAUCUUAAGGAUAAAAAUCCUAACAUAAGAUAAGGUGGAGAUUUCAUCACCCUUCCUUGAUCUACAAAUCAGUGUUCUUCAUAUUGCACUGACCUAAUCCUAAUUAAAAUUUAUUAGACGUUAGCCCCUAAGGAAUUCGAGCUCAUUAGGACAAGAGAACUUGAAAGUUGGAUCAGAUUUGAAAUUAAUCAAUCGAUUGGUGUCUAAAAAAAGUGGUUUAGAGACUCAGUCCUGAAGAAUAGUGGUUAUCUAAUUAGGUCCAUUGCGAAGGUAUGGAGAGCUUCUCACCGAUCUUAUACUUAUUUAACCAAUUUAGUUAGUCAGUUCUGAACUUGGAGCGCUUAAAAGCUAAUUUGGAAGUUAGGAGCUAUCUUGACAUAGGGUUAACCUUAGUUAGGAGUAUUUUUUGUGUAACACAUUUACAUAAAAAUAAAAAAAAGAAUAUAACAACCUUCUUCCCUAUCUUUCUUAGAGUUAGAAUCUUCUAGGGUUCUCAUCUUUAGAACUCUUC